rnacentral:rRNA from 1 species
AUUGAACGCUGGCGGCAGGCCUAACACAUGCCAGUCGAGCGAGCGGCGGACGGGUGAGUAAUGUCUGGGAAACAGCCUGAUGGAGGGGGAUAACUACUGGAAACGGUAGCUAAUACCGCAUACCAUCAGAUGUGCCCAGAUGGGAUUAGCUAGUAGGUGGGGUAACGGCGCACCUAGUCGACGAUCCCUAGCUGGUCUGCGAGGUGGACAAGCCACACGUGAACUGAGACACGGUCCAGACUCCUACGGGAGGCAGCAGUGGGGAAUAUUGCACAAUGGGCGCAAGCCUGAUGCAGCCAUGCCUCGUGUGUGAAGAAGGCCUUCGGGUUGUAAAGCACGUUCAGCUGGGAGGCGUGACCCGCAGAAGAAGCACCGGCUAACUCCGUGCCAGCCGCCGCGGUAAUUC